UUGCCAGACUCCUACGGGAGGCAGCAGUGGGGAAUAUUGGGCAAUGGGCGCAAGCCUGACCCAGCAACGCCGCGUGAAGGAAGAAGGCUCUCGGGUUGUAAACUUCUUUUAUCAGGGACGAAGCAAGUGACGGUACCUGAUGAAUAAGCCACGGCUAACUACGUGCCAGCAGCCGCGGUAAUACGUAGGUGGCAAGCGUUAUCCGGAUUUACUGGGUGUAAAGGGCGUGUAGGCGGGAAAGCAAGUCAGAUGUGAAAACCAUGGGCUCAACCUGUGGCCUGCAUUUGAAACUGUUUCCCUUGAGUGUCGGAGAGGUAAUCGGAAUUCCUUGUGUAGCGGUGAAAUGCGUAGAUAUAAGGAAGAACACCAGUGGCGAAGGCGGAUUACUGGACGAUAACUGACGGUGAGGCGCGAAAGCGUGGGGAGCAAACAGGAUUAGAUACCCCCGUAUG
rnacentral:rRNA from 1 species